GACGAACGCUGGCGGCGUGCCUAACACAUGCAAGUCGAACGGGGUAAAGACUUCGGUUUUUACUUAGUGGCGAGCGGGUGAGUAACGCGUGAGAAACCUGCCUUUCAGUGGGGGACAACAGUUGGAAACGACUGCUAAUACCGCAUAAUGUUAUUUGGGGGCAUCCCUGAAUAACCAAAGAUUUAUUGCUGAAAGAUGGUCUCGCGUCUGAUUAGCUAGUUGGUGAGGUAACGGCUCACCAAGGCGACGAUCAGUAGCCGGUCUGAGAGGAUGAACGGCCAAAUUGGGACUGAGAUACGGCCCAGACUCCUACGGGAGGCAGCAGUGGGGAAUAUUGGGCAAUGGGGGAAACCCUGACCCAGCAACGCCGCGUGAAGGAAGAAGGCCUUCGGGUUGUAAACUUCUUUCACCAGGGACGAACAAAUGACGGUACCUGGAGAAAAAGCAACGGCUAACUACGUGCCAGCAGCCGCCGCAGUAA
rnacentral:rRNA from 1 species